ACUCAGCAACCCUGUCAUUCAGAAUGGACAGAUAGAGUUUCCCAGACAAACAAGUUAAAGGAGUUCACCACCACUAAACCAGCCUUACAAGAAACAUUGAAGGGAGUGGGAAGAAAAGGCCAUAUCAGGAACAAGAAAAUUAUGAAAGGAAAACAUUUCACAGGGAAGUCAUGUCAUGAGUAGUCCCAUGAUGGGAACCUAAUGCUUCCUGCCAAAAGCAGAGUGUGCUUGGAAGGAGAUCCUCUGUGCCUCAUCAAGUCAUCAAAGACUAUAACCCUGGCUGACAGUGUGACUGCACACCAUGAGACACCCUGAUGCUGCAACACCCAGCUCGGCUGCUCCCAGAUGCCUGACCCUCAGAGACUGAGAUAAUUAACGCUCGUCAUUAUAGAUGAUGCAGUUUGCGAGUAGUUUGUUUGUUACACAGCAACAAUUGACAGCUAAAGCUCUAGCAAAGUUAAAAAAAAAAAUGAGAAGCACAGAAUAUGAAGUGUAAAAGAAGGGACAGCUUUUGUUUAAAUGCUAUAAGAAAUGUGAAUUUUGCAUCAUCGGAUGCCAUAUUUCUGGAAUUAUAGGGUGUUACGUUUCCUCCAAAUCCUCCAUUCACUUCAUUAAGAAUUUGGUGAGUGAUCAUCAAUUCUCUGUUAAGUCUCAAGUAUUAAACACAGGGACAUCACAUACAAUUCACUUUAUGACAGUGUGAUACUCAGACUACAAUAGCUGCUAAUAAAUGUUCAAUAAUGUAGCAUAUGGUGUAUGUAUGUGUGUAGAUAUGCAUUCACAUGCUGGGUUAACAAAGCAAAGGGCUGGGUUACAUAGUAAGUAUAACUGACAAAACAAAUCAGAGCAGAGUGUUUUUUUUUAAUCCAUACCAUUUCACUCUUCAGCAAAGCCAAUCCAAUCUGGUCAGUGUGAACUUUCCUUCCCAUCCCAAAUCUCUGCGGUCCAUAGUAAUUUACAAACCCUUUAUUCUACGAAUACAAGAAAAUCAAUCAUUAAAAGCAUAUUAUUAUGUGAGCACUGGGUGUUGUAUGUAAGCGAUAAACCACGGGAAUCUACCCCCAAAACCAAGAGCACACUGUAUACAAUGUUAGCCAAUUUGACAAUAAAUUAUAUUAAAAAAAAUUAAAAACUAAAAUUAAAAAAAAAAAGCAUAUUGUUAUGGACUGCAUGCCUGUAUAUCCCCCAAAAUUCAUACGUUGAAAUCCUAACCUCCAAUGUGAUGGUAUUUGGAGGUGGGGACUCUGGGAGGUAAUCAGAGCUCUCAUGAAUGGGAUCAGUGCCCUUCUAAGAAAAGACCUUGGAGCUAGCUCACUCUAUUUCCACCAUGUGAGAAUACAACACAAAGACAAGGCUGGCACCCUGAUCUCAGGCUUCCAGCCUCCAGCAUGAUACAAAAUAUAUUUUUGUGAUUUAAAAGUCACCCAGUCUAUGGGUCUUUGUCAUAGGCCCAAAGUGACUACAACAAAUUAAUAGAAUUAUUGUGUCAGAUAUCUAAUCAAGUUUCCUCCUCAUAUUUAUUUUAAUAAAAGAAUACUGUAAUCAGCAAUAUACACAUGGGAACCAAAUGGUCUGAGAUAUGCUAUACAAUUAAAGAAAAGAAAGAAGAAAAACAAACAAUUAAAAGUUAGAAAAUAAGGCCAGCAAAAAAAGCCUUAAAAAAAUAGGUCAGCUUUCCAUUCAUAUUACUGAAGGGUAUUCUAGGAUGCAGGACUUUCAAUGCUAAAAUUGGGGAAGUUCUGGGAAAACUGGGAUGAACUGGUUACUGAGUGUGAUCUUUGCUCUAAAGCUCUUUCUGAUUCUGAGAUGCUCCUGUUGUCUGGAGAUGCUGGGAAUAAGCAAUACAUUUACUUCAAACCCAGCAAGUCUUAGUUCCUUUAUACAGAACAAUUCAUUUUUUAAUUAUCUCAGUUUCUAAAGACCUGAGUCAAGAGAAUGACAUGGCAUCACUUCCCCAAGAACAGAAAAUUGUAAAUUACUCUGCAACCUUAAAGACAAUAAUAGUCAGUGGUUAAACAUGCUCUCACAAGGAAAACAUCAGGGCCCAGAUGGUUUCUUGAAAGAUAAGAGUCUUCCACACUCACUUUAUGAGAGGAGAUCAUAUUUAUUCAUUCAGCAAUUAUUACUUCAAAUUUGGAAAAAUAAUAUCAAAUAAUAUCCUCGAAUAACCAGAAGAGUUUUAAAUACCCCUUCAAAUUACUUAGGGCUGGAUAUAACAAAAGGUUUCUAGUGGUCAAAGUUAUAACCGUCUAAAACAAAACUUCAAAGACUUCUUAUUUUCAGAACUAAAGGUAAGUUGGCUAAAGCUAAAACCAUUUCUAAUGGGGAUUUUAUAACUAGCAGUUGUGCAUCCAUAAGUUCCAAAUGAAAGACAGGCAAUAAAUGCUAUCAGACUUCAGAGAAAUUUUCUCCCCUUUUUAAGGGAUAUUAUUUUGGUAGCAGUUUUUCAGGACAGAGAAAAGAAUUUUAGAUACAGAAGUAAGGGAAAAACAACCAUAUAAGGGGUAUACAAUCAAAGAGUGUCUAUGCACAGGUAAAUGUGCUGAAUUUUAAAAAUCUUUAUUAGAAGUCAUUUUCCUGGCUAUAAGGCAUAAUAACUGAUUAAAAACCUGGCUUUUUGUUUGUUUUUCUUUGGAGAGGAGUAAAACUGUGUAAAAAGGUCUUUGUGGUCAGAAUCUUAUAUCAGUGUUUCUCAAUGUUAGCUGUAGAGUAAAAUCAGCUAGGGAGUUUUUAAAAAGAUAUUAAUAAACUAAGCUGCAUUCCCAAAUGUUCUUAUUUAAUUGGUUUGGGGGUAGAGACUGACUACUGAGAUUGCAUACAAGCAUCCCAGAUUGAGGAUUACUGGUCUAGAUCAGAACUUGUCAAACUACUAAUGGCCUAUAAGUCAAAUGUGGCCCUACACCUAUUUUUGUAAAUAAAGUUUUAUUAGAACACAA